AGUGAACGCUGGCGGUAGGCUUAACACAUGCAAGUCGAACGGCAGCACGGUAAGAGCUUGCGCGGACGGGGGGCGAGUGGCAGACGGGUGGGGAAUCCAUCGGAAUCUGCUCUCUCGUGGGGGAUAACGUAGUGAAACUGUCGCUAAUACCGGAUACGACCUACGGGUGAAAUCAUGGGAUCUUCGGACCUUUCGCGAUUGAAUGAGCUGAUGUCGGCUUAGCUAGUUGUCGGGGUGAAGGCCUACCAAGGCGACGCUCCGUAGCUGGCCUGCGAGGAUGAUCGGCCCAACUGCAACUGAGACACGGUCCAGACUCCUACGGGAGGAAGCAGUAGGGAGUAUUGGAGCAUGGGCGCAAGCCUGAUCCAGCAGUGCCGCGGCGGUGGAGAAGGCCUUCGGGUUGUAAAGACCUUCUGUCGGGAAAGAAGAGCAGCAGCUUAAUAUCUCGCUGCUCUGACGGUACCCAAAGAAUAAGCACCGGCUAACUUCGUG
rnacentral:rRNA from 1 species